rnacentral:ncRNA from 2 species
GAAUAAAGCAGAUGGCUGGGUGCCUUUUGUAUUUACAAAAGGAUAAUAGGGAAUCAGGUCUAAGUCCUGAGCGGGUCCGCCACUGUAACUAGUUAGUUAGGCUUAAAUUGCCACUUGGAUAGAUUGAUAUCUAGGGAAGGUAAAGUCUAAUGUUUAGGCUAGAAGCCAGGAAACCUGCCCAGCUGUUAUCCUACAU